CCAAAGAAAUACCAAAGCUGAGAGAGGUGCUGAGGAGUCUUAACCUCAAUCAUACCAACAAAGUGGCCUCACAGUAUUUUACAAGUGCCACAGGGAUCCUGUCCCUCAUACAAACAUCCAAAGAUAACAAUGCGGAGAUGAAUACGGACAAAGCUAAGCUGCACAGUGAGCUGAGUAAGAAGCUGGAGGAUGAACUGAAAUGUCUAAGGGAUGAUCGUUUAAAGUCAUGUUACGAUGAACUGGAGAAGUGCCUCUCAGAUGGAGUUAACAAGGCAGAGAUGAAAUGUGCUGAAAUAACCAAGAAAAACGUGGAUGUACCAGUAAGCACUACUACUUGGCAGAUUACCAAAGUUAUUUUAUGGUAUUAUAUGUAAAAUUGUUACAGAUCUACCAUGCUUUAAUCCACAUACAUUUAAUAAAUGAAACAUUCAAUAUCCUUUUCUUAGCGAGGCAGAGAUGGACGUGGAUACCAUCAGACUCUAUCAGCGUUGUGCAGAAACAAAGGUUACUUCAGGUCCAAUAAUGGAGAAACAACAGACCUGAACAAGGCUUUGGCUGAAUUUAUGUAUGAAAGCAUCAAUGAAAAGUUUAAUGCCUUGUUUCCAAAUGAAGGGGAAACUAGACUGUCAGUGCGGAAGAAGGUCCGCCAAUUCAGUAUCUGCUCGAUCAGUGUCACUGAGGGCUACAGCAACCCUGCAGCAAUGACUCACAUUCUGAGGUUCCUAAAAGCUGAGGAAGCCAAGCUGAAGCAUUUGAUAUAUAGAGUGAUUGCGCAGCAAAAGAAGGAAAUAUAUGCUUCAAUCACAGAUACCAUCAAAGAAGAGAUGGUUCCUGGCUACAACAGUAAGUCAGUGGAAUCGUGAUUAAUUCAAGGAAGACUUAGUUGAAGAGUUAUGUGUAAUGCGAAAUGUAAUUUCGGUAAUUUGAACCAAAUGUUGCUUGUUUGGCUGCAGGGGCUGUAAGAUGUAUUGGAAAGGCAUCCAUGAAGAGGAAGCAGACAGUACUGAUGGAAUACACUGAGUCACUGAAGCAUAUCAUGUUCAACAAUGCAAAGAAUAUGAUGCUGACUUUGUUCAGAAAACUGAUGGUUUGUUCACUUUUACAUAUGAAGUUCAAAAAUGAAAAUUCUUUAGGGAAAAUCAGUUACUCAGGUGAAUUGAUUACUUUGAAAAUAUUCAAACAAAAUGUUUCUGUGUUUUUUUUCUUUGCAAGAAAUGGAUUGAGGACCGGUUGAGAGUGAAGCUACAGAAAGCUAUGGAUCACACACUGCUGAUUGAAUCCAUCUUCCCGUUUAUUAUGGGUAAGUCAGGAGACCUUCAUCAUAUCCCAUAUCCAUCUGCUUGAACAGUAAACUCACAUUCCAAAGCCUUACAUGGACACUGAUGUUUUUAAGUCUGAUCAAAAUGCUUUCUCAGGGGUCUGUGGGGCUGGGAUCAUUCUGCUGGCAUAAAUCACAUGAGAAAGACGACUGACUGUGUGCUUCUUUGUUGUAGAUGUCAGCACUGAAAUUGAAAAGCUGGAGAAGUUAUCUGCCCCAACUGAUGAAUAACAGCUCCAAGAAUCUAAUGAAGAAUGGGUGUGGAAAACAGGUUUUUAUUGUAGUCAUUGUUACACCCCCUGGUGGCUCGGAGUAGGACUCAACAUAAGGGCAACAGA
ensembl:lncRNA